ensembl:lncRNA
AAAGUGUUGGCACCUCUCUGUUGGCAGUCCAGUCCAGUAGAUGUCACUGCAGCCAAAGGAGCAGGAGACAAACUGACCCUCUGACCUUCCUAGAGCCCCCUGCCGUUUCACUCAUCAAGCCACUGAACCCUACAGGAGGAAUGAAAUCGGCGAUACAUCGAGGUGUGGGGAGAGGACAAUCUUCUCAGAGAAUCAUGGACUUUCCAGUCAUGGCACACAUCGUCUUGAAGAUGUACCUAUAGUAUCCUUUAUUGUUGGUUGCAAUUAAAGCAUCCCUGUGAAGUAAUGUAAAAUACGUUUGCCAUUCAAAAAUCUUUGGAAAGACGGGAUGGUCAACCAUUCACAAAAAAAUGACUAAGAGGAACUGGCUGGGUUUAUGGUAAGUAGCCCAAUAUUGAUCAGUUGUAUUUGGACAAUAAUGUGGCAUUUUAUCAAAUCAAUGGUGUUGAGAGACUCGUCAGGUGCCAUAAGUAAGUUCUUCAUUGUGUUCUCCACUCAUUUGUCCUAUGUGGUGGAGGUGGUGUAAAACGUUCACCCAAAACUAGUAGGUCUUCACCUGCGAGCACCUCAACACUGAUAAGUAGAAGCGCUUCAGUGCCACCAAGGAGACGACGUUUCUGCUGUACUUCCCAGAUAAAGGCCGCCAUCACCCAACGAUCCUCCUCGGCAGCCCAGCUAGGAGGUGCGAAGGAGGAGUAGAGAUCGUUGCGUAGCUGAGCAUGACACCGGACUAUACGGGCAUUCAGUUUCUACAGAAGCAUUUACCGUCCUGUGAAAGUUCACUUAGUGUUCACUCGUCUUGCCUGAACCACUCGUUUUAUCACAGGAGUAGAAGUGUCUUGAUUUACACAAAUAAAUUGUGUGUGUGGUUUUUAGAUCAGAUUGAAAUUCAAAGACGGUGGAAAUAGUGAGAUGUUGUGGAGAGACGAUACCUUUUUUUCCCCAAACACAGUCUUGACAUUCCAAAGUUCAUGAGCUAUUCAAGGCUAUAUUAGCUGUAUUUUCUAACUGUUUGACCUGAGUCAUACAGGACCCAUCAGGAAGGCGUGUGCUCCAUCCACUCAUUGUCUCAUGAGGGUUUUCAGUCCAGAGAUGGCGCUGCCAUAGAAGUACCUCUGUUGUUACACACUCUUGCCCUUGAUCAGCUGCAAAAGGCAGCAGACAGUGGAGCAGAUCAUUUUCCCCUGAGACAAUUUGGUGACCUCCCUCUGGAGUCCCAGCAGCGCUAUCAGAGAGAGUGGAGAGGAAAAUUGCUGGUUUGCAUCGCUGUUCUCUUACGGGAAGGAGGAAUUUCAAUGGGGUCAGCGUGGAGUCCCCAUGGAGACAGACGGCGGCCGGGUGGCUCGGACUCAGGAGGCGGUGAGACUCGACGCCCCUCUGAGUGGCGGAGCCGUGAUGGCUCUCAGUAUCUCUCGUCAUGUCCCUGGCAGCUUUGACACAGGUAAUAUGCAUGCAGUCUGACAGAGCCGGAGAUGUGCACCGGCGACAAUGAUGUACAUAUCAUUUUCCUCCCUGGCUGAUUGAAGACUGUAAUCUGUGCUGGACUUUUUCUCUGAUUACACACGUCUCUGUCUCGGGGAGCAAAACAAGGACUCUGAACUGCCGCUGGCAACCAGGCUCACCCUGGGCUUUCAGCCUUCGAGAGGACUGCACUCUGCCUCUAAGGGACCAAGGGAAUCAGCUGUUCUCCUGAGACACACCUCUGUGUUACCAUUGGACCCUGGUGAUCCAGUCCUAAUAGCAUAUCAAGCACCCGGCAGAGGGGAGCAGGUGAUGGCGUCCGCCAUAAGGAGGAUACUUUGGUGCUGUCCAACAAGCCGUCUGUUAUCAGAGGGAAAUGUGUCCGUUCAGAGGUGAGGGGGGGGGCUUUGUGCUCUCAACCAGGCCACCUCUCUGCCUUUGUCGUGGUAACAAGCUCAGCUCAGGCUCCAUUGAAGCGAGAAAUUGUAAACUCUCCAGAGAGGCCCAGUGGAGAGAUAAGGGUUUAGUGUUUGUUGGCUGUGUGCUUGGGGAUGAAUCAGAUAAGCUCGAGUCCCACGCCAGAAUGGGAGUGAUGAUACCUCCCCUUCUGUGGGGUGUUAUGUUUAAUCCCUUUGCCAGUGUAUUCACUUGCAAAUCCUCCUGUCACCAUUAAUAUGUAUUAACACUCCUCAGACAGUGUUCAAUACAGAUUUAUCAGACUCUUAUUUUCUUUCCUCUUGUUUGCACUGUCGUCUCACCCUCCUCUGUAACCGUGGAGCUUUCUUUUCAGUGCUAAUAUCGAGGCGACAUGCUUUUGCUGUGAGAGACCAGAUAUUACUGUGCACUCUCUCUCUCUCUAUGGGGUUUCUUUCAACAGUCCCUUCUUUCCUUUAAGUUCGGGUUUCUGUUCUGUAGAGGACUUAAACUCCGAACAUACUUCAUUGCAGUCCUGUGUGAAUAUGUGGGAUCCCUAAAUCUCUGAAAGUAUAGCAUUGACUCACUCAUCAAUGUUUGAUUUGUUGAUUAUAAGGCUCAGUCACUUCACACAGAGCUAAAAACCUGUCUUUUGUAUUCCUCUCGGGUUGAUCAAUUUCCACUGUGUAAUUAAGAAUAGCGGUGCAUUAAUCUAUUUGAUCCAAUACAAUAA